rnacentral:rRNA from 1 species
GUAGGUGGCAAGCGUUGUCCGAAAUUAUUGGGCGUAAAGCGCGCGCAGGCGGUCCUUUAAGUCUGAUGUGAAAGCCCACGGGCUCAACCGUGGAGGGUCAUUGGAAACUGGGGGACUUGAGUACAGAAGAGGAAAGCGGAAUUCCACGUGUAGCGGUGAAAUGCGUAGAGAUGUGGAGGAACACCAGUGGCGAAGGCGGCUUUCUGGUCUGUAACUGACGCUGAGGCGCGAAAGCGUGGGGAGCAAACAGGAUUAGAUACCCUGGUAGUCCACGCCGUAAACGAUGAGUGCUAAGUGUUAGGGGGUUUCCGCCCCUUAGUGCUGCAGCUAACGCAUUAAGCACUCCGCCUGGGGAGUACGGCCGCAAAGGCUG